rnacentral:lncRNA from 1 species
GUAAAGCUGCAGGUAUAAAUAUAGAAGAUAAAUAUAUAAAGACCAUAUUUUAUAAAUGGAUUAAUAUAAAAUCACCAUCUUAUUUACACGAAACACAUCUCAUUAUAAUCAUUCUACAUAAUGUAGGAUCUAUUAUAAAAUGAACAAUCUGUUUCUAAUUUUUGUGCUUAAAUCUUGGGAUAAUUUUAAGUGAAGUGUAGUCAGCAUUUUAAUGUAUUCUUGGAGUUUGAUAUUAUGAGCAUUAUGGACUUGUUAAUUUUAUUCCUAGAUAGUUGAAAUAAGUAUCUGACAGAAAUGUAUUAAGAAGCAGAACACUAUUUUUCUCUAUCAGCUGAAAAGCAAAUGCAUUAUUAGCAUCUGAAUUGAAUGCUGGAAUCUCCAACAUACAUGUAUGUCUAUCUAUGUGUUUUGUGAUCUGAGUCU